UACGUAGGGACCGAGCGUUGUCCGGAAUCAUUGGGCGUAAAGAGCGUGUAGGCGGCUUGCUAAGUCUUGCGUGAAAUCUCGGGGCUCAACCCCGAGCGGUCGUGGGAAACUGGCAGGCUAGAGUGCGGGAGAGGAGAAUGGAAUUCCUGGUGUAGCGGUGAAAUGCGUAGAUAUCGAGAGGAACACCUGCGGCGAAGGCGGGUUGCUGGGCUGACACUGACGCUGAAGUGCGAAAGCUAGGGGAACGAACGGG
rnacentral:rRNA from 1 species